rnacentral:rRNA from 1 species
GCACCACAAGGGGUGAAGCUGCGGUUCAAUUGGAGUCAACGCCAGGAAANUUACCAGGAGAGACAGCAGGUUGAGGGUCAAGCUGAAGACUUUACCUGACGAGCUGAGAGGAGGUGCAUGGCNGUCGCCAGCUCGUGCCGUGAGGCGUCCUGUUAAGUCAGGCAACGAGCGAGACCCNUAUUGGUAAUUGCUAACAGUCCAGAGAUGGAUUGAGGCUAGUUACCGAGACUGCCGCUGNUAAAGCGGAGGAAGGAGGGGGCCACGGCAGGUCAGUAUGCCCCGAAACUCGUGGNCCACACGCGGGCUGCAAUGGUAGGGACAAUUGGUUCCGACUUCGAAAGAAGGAGGCAAUCCGCAAACCCUACCCCAGUUGUGAUUGAGGAUUGAAACCCGUCCUCAUGAAUAUGGAAUCCNUAGUAACCGCGUGUCAUCACCGCGCGGUGAAUAGGUCCUUGCUCNUUGCACACACCGCCCGUCGCUUCACCCGAGUUUGGCUUUGACGAGGUCGUCUCCUAUUGGGGCGAUCGAAUCUAAGUUAGGCCAGGGGGGAG